GAUGUGUAGGUUAGUCAGUUCCUGAAUCAGUUGAUUACAAUUUUCAGAUCAAUUCUCAUUUUCACUACGAUCAACUAGUUUGUGAUCCUGUGCAGUUGGACAUUACAGUGGUUUAAGGUUUAGAUUGUAGUCCAGCUAUGAUCGCCCGGCUAGUAGUGAUUGUGUCCAUGGUGGCUGUAUGCUUGGUGUUAGGCUGGUCCUACAAUGUAUCAGCCAAUCCUAUCUAUGUCCCCAGUAGAGACACUUGUCCCCCGGGGUAUAAGAGAGACUUUCUCAACAGAUGUAGAGAGAUCAUACCUUCCUUUGACAACUGGAACUACAACUGACUGUAGCAUCUUCAUGAGCUAUCUCAACAAUUAACACAUUGAAGAAGACCACUUUCUUCUACCAACUUCUCUUAUGUUGAAAACUUCAGCCAGCAUCACUUAAUCAUGCAUUUAAAUUGUUCACCAAAUUAUUUGUUUUCUGAAUACUUCUAAAGUAAAUAUUUCAUCCAGUACAAAUGUACUUGUGUAUUAGUAUGUACCCUUUUUCUUAGUAAUACCCUGUGUCCCAAAUUAGGUGGGGAGGUG